AGGGAGAGAACCAGAGUUCUCUGACCCGAAAGAGAGAGAGAGAGAGACGACCCGGAAGGGAAACCCGACCAGAGGGACGCCGUCCGGCCCCCCACUUCGGCGCACGGCCACCAGUAGCUUCGUCUCGUCGUCGCCGUCACGCCUGUGGCCUUUGAUCGCCCAUGCACCGUACGAGGAGGGAGACUCGACGGUGAGAAGCAGCGACUGCUCCGGCGAGUUUCUGCGAUUCCGGCCACCAUCUGGCCUGUAAUUGACAAGGAAUUGGGCAGUUGGCUGGGUAGAUCACAUUGACAUCCUCAGUUCAUCAUCAGCCUAGUUUCCGCAAGGAGUUGUGUAGUUUGGUGGUUUGAGGAUUUCUUUGCAGAUUGUAGUACUUGAGGUAAUAUCGAGAUUUUGAUGGAAAUGUUUCUGUUUGUUUGGCUGGAAAAUCGAUUGAGUUAUGGUUUGAGAAAUUGGUUGCAUUGUUGAUCGGAGAUUGUGAGUGUGUGCGUGAGGUUUCUGUGAAAUUGGUUACUGGUUAUGAAUGAAUAAAUGGUAUUGUGUUGUUAUGUUUGAUCUGUGGCUAUUGUUAUUUGAGAGUGAAUUUAAAGGGUGCUAAGGGAUGGUUUAAGUUAUGUGGGUGUCCAUAGUAAUUCGAUGGAAUUUACUAUGUGACAAAAUGCAAAAUGGAAAUAAAAGACCAAGUUUUGGGUGAAUUGAGAUAAAUCGUUUACGAAAUUGGAAACAUGAUCUUUGCUUGUGCAUAUGUUAAAUGGAUAGAAAGUGAAAGAAAUUAAUAUAUAAGCAUAUAUAUGUAUAUUGGGUGGCCUUAGUAAUCGGGUGCACUCAAUAUAUGUUUGGUCAAUAUCGUAAUUUCAAGUGAAUGUUCGAUAAUCUAAGUUAAUUAUCGAACCUAUCUCGAUUGGUCAAACAAUGGUCAAAGUUGGUCAACUCCUGGUCAAACCAGGAAAAAUUGGUUAGAACGAUUUAUUAAUCGUCGAGAUCUCAUAUAAUUGUUCGAU